rnacentral:lncRNA from 7 species
ACCUUUCUAUCAUUCUAUGAUUCUCUGACUCAACAUCUGGAAGACUUUUCACAGCCUACCUAGUGAGGGUCACAGCAAACAGCACAUCAUGGCGUGCAUAACUUAGUUAAUGCUUAUGCUACUUGACACACAGGACCACAAACACAGAGUAUGGUAAGGAAGCACUGAACUUCAGACUGAAUUUUGGUCUUCCUGCUGGGCUGAAAUAAUCUCAUGUCAGUCCCAGUCUACUCAUCUGCACCAAGGUUAACAAGAGGAAACUGUGGCCUAAUGCUCUUGCAUGCCCCUGAGCUACACAUUGCCACAAUACUUCUGCACAAGCAAGGACCUUUGGCCUCUGCAUCUGCCUUUUGCAGGUGAUUCAGCACCUUUGGGCUGAAUUUUGGCUUCUAUAACUGGCAGGUUGGCAGCUGCUAGGGUGUACCUGGAAGGAAAUUAAUAUAUAUAUUAAACAUUAAAAAAAUGUAAAAGGCACUCACAAAUUGGUGUUGACCAACGGUAUUUGGCAGGACUGCUAUAUCUCAGGUGAAGCAAAUAUUCAUCCAAAACAUAAUUUCUUUGGGAUGUGAUCAGAGCAUUAUUAAUGUGUGUGACACCAGAUGCGUUCGGAGUUGCCAAGUAAUGACGUUAUUUAGGUGAAGGUCUGAGCAGAGUGUUCUGGUAAUUUGCUAGCUAUUUGCAUUGGACAAUAUGUUUCCGAAGUGAUAACAGUAAUUUAAUCAUCAUCUCCAUGGUGGUAUUAAAUGUGGAAAUCACAUUUGCAUCUUUUUGCUGCAUUUGAUUUAUUCUAUGACAGCUAACAACAUCUCGAGGAAAAAAAUGUCAUAGAUCACCACUAGGUAGGGAAUGAUAACUGAUAGAUCUUCAUAAGCACUUUGGCAAAGCAGUACAAGAACCCCCUUUGGGGAGCCACUUACAGAGGAAACGGAUACAAAAGAUGUUCCAGCAGGGCUGAAAAAUGCCAUGCGUGCUCAGUCCAUAGUUAUCUGUAGUGAAGCACAUCAUUGAAAGAGAAGGAGGUAGGAAAGCACCUGUUUGGCUCAGUAAGGAAAGCCUCUUCUCUGAUCUUAAUGUGCUUUUUACUGACAAACUGGUUGGCGUUUACCUCUGGCUCCAAGGCAGCCAGAAGAGCAGGUCAGGUGGGUGCUCCCUAAUUCACUCCAGGCAGUAAGGCGUAUUUGUUUAAUAGAUUUAUAUUGAACUAGAUGGUGAAUUGAUAGCCCGUGAGUUUAUCUGACUGCUUUUGACUGAAUCAGUUCAGGAGGAACUUGGAAGAGAAACCUGCAAUGAAAGCCUGGGAGCUGACAGAAGCUGGUUUGCAACAGCUGUGGACAACUUCUUCCUCCAGCAGCAACAGUGAGAACAAGGAGUGUUUUCUACAUCAGGAAGCUCCACGGCCGUAAUAAUAAUGGUUCAUCUGGCAAAUCCUCCAGUGACAGCGACUAAUAAAUGUUUUGUGAAGAAGCUAUGGAAGUUCAGACUGUACUGUUACACGUGUGAAAUGGCUGAAGUUAAUCUAGAUGAGGAGGAGACUGUGUUACUGUGUGAGGAAGCAGAGGGAAAAAUGCUGCAACAGCUAUCCCCUGGUCUGCAUAGCUGUGAAACCAAGAAGAGUCCAGGGUAGGACUCCUGCGCUCCCAUCAGACUGUAGGUACUACCAGAAGUGCUGGCUGCACUUAGCCAGAAAAUAAAGACCAUUUGCUUUCUGC